rnacentral:misc_RNA from 1 species
AACACCUCAACCUCCUCUUGAUUUUUCAAAAGGAGGGUGGGCUUGAGCUAUCCCAACAACCUUAAUCGGUCGGCGGGCGGCUUGAAAUGCAGGUGCAGCUGGACUUUUAUCUGAGCUAAAAGCAUAUCUAUUUAGUCCUCGUCAAACAGGAUUAUUACUUUUGCUGCAGCUAACAUAAAGGAUAAUUGUCCUCUUUGCUGACUGAUGCGGGAUUUUACGACACUUUAUGUGUUGUUCA